rnacentral:rRNA from 1 species
CCUACGGGAGGCAGCAGUGAGGAAUAUUGGUCAAUGGACGAGAGUCUGAACCAGCCAAGUAGCGUGAAGGAUGACUGCCCUAUGGGUUGUAAACUUCUUUUAUAUGGGAAUAAAACGUUCCACGUGUGGGAUUUUGUAUGUACCAUAUGAAUAAGGAUCGGCUACCUCCGUGCCAGCAGCCGCGGUAAUACGGAGGAUCCGAGCGUUAUCCGGAUUUAUUGGGUUUAAAGGGAGCGUAGGUGGAUUGUUAAGUCAGUUGUGAAAGUUUGCGGCUCAACCGUAAAAUUGCAGUUGAAACUGGCAGUCUUGAGUACAGUAGAGGUGGGCGGAAUUCGUGGUGUAGCGGUGAAAUGCUUAGAUAUCACGAAGAACUCCGAUUGCGAAGGCAGUUCACUGGACUGCAACUGACACUGAGGCUCGAAAGUGUGGGUAUCAAACAGGAUUAGAUACCCCAGUAGUC